rnacentral:lncRNA from 10 species
UGUUGGGAGAAAAACAGCUUUUGGUCAACAAGACAUACCUCAGAACUGAGGAAGAUGGUGAAGAGUCUCCGACGUGUAUGUUUUUCAUUUAAAUUAAAAUAUGCCUUCCUGGGUCAAGCCAGGACCCAAAGUGUUCAGAGAAAAUAGAAUUUUAUGUGAUAUUUUGAGUCCAAACAGAAACAGGAAAUUCCAGCAACCUCUGGAAAGAGAACAAGUUCCCUUGAGAAGUUCUCACUUAGUUUUCCAUAUUGAAUGAGUUCUGAGUGGUUCAAAUGACAUCCUGAAACACAUGUGAACCAUCUCAAUCUCCACAUAUCCUCCGUGCUGGGUAAAGUUCAAACAACUAGGCAUUAUUUUAAGACUUGGAGUAUAUCGCCUUGCAAACAGGCUAAGUUAAAUUCUACCCUGAUAACAGAAGAGAUAAAAGUGGCUAUUCAUAUUAUUUAUGAGAUCUUGCCUACCCAAAAAUGCAACCACUGAAGUCAUUCCAUUAUGCAUAAUAUCUUGAAGUCCCUUAUUAAAGUAAAUACACUGUAAGUCACGCAAGGUGGCACAUGUUACCACCCAGAACUGUAUAUCAUCUGACUAGGUUAAUUACUUAUCACUUAACAGAAUGGAAAUGAGGAAAGGAAAGGAGAAAGAGAAGGAACAUUUAUUUAGCUCUUCCUAUGUGCUUGCAUUCAGAAUUUUGCCAAGAUUCCUCAUCAUGCCCAUUGGUCAACGGAUUCCAGAUGCCAACUCUUCCCACUUUUUAAAAUAGGACAAAUGUUUGGCAGCUCCAGUUCUGAGGACUUUUCUCAUUUGCUGAUGAUUCCUCAAUGAGAAGAGUCUGGUAAACGAACAGCAGUCCAAAUUUAACUUGACACCCGUGCACCAGGAAGCAUGUUGACACGUGUUUUUAGUAGUACUCUUCAUUAAGGAAAUAAUUCAAGUUGCCUAUCAGCAGUGGAAUGAUUAAAGGUACCGGUUAUCCAUACCAUGGACUAUUACACAGCAGUGAAAUGAAUAGAUCAUGUUACACACGCCAGUCUGGCUGAAUUUCAAAAAGAAUACUGAGCCGAAGAAGCCAAUCAUAAAGUAUGACUUCAAAGACAUUUUCAAAACAGGCAAAACUAAACAUGUACACUGUUUACUGAAACACAUAUGCACUAAAAAGCAAAGGUGUGAUUCACACGAAAUUCAGGACAGUCGUUAUCUCUGAGGGGCGUGGGAGGAGGAAGGAUAUACGAUCUGGGUGGAGCACACAGGAAACUUCUGGGGGACUGGUGAUGUUCCAUUUCUUGGCAUAGAUGAUGGUUUAAAAGCUGUUUAUUGUGUUGUUUAAAUUAUACAUGUAUAUUUUCACAUACAGCUUGUAUAUUUUACAAUGUAAUAAUGGAUCCACAUUCUGGCUGGUGAGGCAGGCUCUCCUAGGCAUCUACCUUUUUAUACACAUAUUAUUCUGGUUUACUGGUCUGUAAUAGAUCCUGCAUUAGCUGGAUUCUGGAAUUCAAUGCUACUUAAAAUAUAUAGAUUUCUUUGUCUGUGAGGAGUUUUCAAGUUGGCAAGAUAUUUGCGACAGAGAGAGGAUUCCUGGAACCUCAGAAGGGCGGCCAGGGGGCAAACAUGAGCCUCUGGCCUCAUCCCUCAUCUGGCUUUCGGCCCAGUCAGACCACCCCCAAUGAAAGCCAGGUCAGAGAAGCGUGCAGAAGAUGUGCAGAGAGGCCUCAUGCCUUCACGUAUUAAAUCUUUAUCCUUGGACUUCAAAAACUCCCAGAAAUGGGGGAGUGGGAGUCAUACUAGUCCCUUAGGCAAACAACAAUGGAAGAAGCAGCCCCAAUCUGCCUACUCAUCAUGAUCGUAAAUCACGCUUCCAGACACCUGCCUGGACGGCAGCCCGAGAGAAACUGUGGCAUGGGAGUUGCCCUUGCAUUGAGUAGGCUGGUUUAUCUCUAAGGGCGUGCACAGAGCUACAAGGUUGGAAGGAAAGGGUUAUUGUGGCUAGUUCAAGGAUUCUUACUCUCCCUCUGGCGAGCCAGCCGGACACACGCUAAGUGCUGAUUGUAGUCAGUUCUAAAUAGAGCAGCAAGCACACCCUUUCAUAUCUCCAAGAUAUUCAAAUUCCCACCCAGCAAGAACUAAUAUUUUUACAAGGUAGAGAUCCACUGGCCAAGGAGCGGCAGCUUUUAAACUACUCCACAGUCACUUAUUCCCCAGAAAAGACAUAUUAGAAAAAGAUAAACAGAAAGAGAUCUUUCAGGGACUCCAAUUUUUCUUGUUGAUAAAAUGAAGUUGUCUUUCCUAAAUCCAAGCUUGCACAGGUGUGUGUAUCAGCAAUUCCAAAAGCUCAGCCAUCCUCGAUUGGCUGCCCCAAAUGACCUGAAUCCAUCUUAUUUUCCUCACACUAUUGAUUCUCAAGAAAAAGGCCUCAGGGUGGGGAUAGGAUACCCAUACCCAUCAGGCGAGAUGAUUUGUGAGACAUGUUCAAUUUACAGUUAUCCACUCCAGAUAGGUGUGGUCUAUCCUUCCAACCGAGUGUUCCGGAACAGAAAAGAAAUUAGAACUACUAGGUUUAGGGCUGGAUAGGUGGCUCACACCUGUAAUCCCAGUACUUUGGAAGGCUUAGGCAGAAGGAUUGCUUGAGCUCAGGAGUUCAAGACCAGCCUGAGCAACACACUGAGACUCCAUCACUAUAUUAAAAAAAA